AUGCACUUUGACGGCUCUAAAAUGCUGGCCGGAUUGGGAGCAGGUGUAGUCCUGACUUCUCCCACCGGGGACACGGUCCAGUACGCCCUCCAAAUAUUAUACACAGACUUCAACAAUGCAGCCGAAUACGAGGCUCUGUUGCACGGUAUCCGGAUGGCAGUCCCUAUGGGCAUUCAACGCCUAGAGGUGCGCGGGGAUUCAAACCUCGCAAUAUCACAAAUAAAUGGAGACUUUGAUGCCAAGGAUCCGAAAAUGGCGGCCUAUCGCAAUGCCGUCCUUAAAAUGUCAGUUCGGUUCGAGGGGCUCGAAUUCCACCAUGUGGCUCGAGAAAACAAUCAAGCGGUAGAUGUCCUUGCACGCAUCGGCACUAAACGUGGCCCCGUCCCACCUAAUAUAUUCCUGGAAAGGCUGUUCAAGCCAUCCGUGGUAUGGGAAGGGGAGUCCGGCAAUACCAGCACGGAUCCGAAUACAUCCCCAGAUUCUGAACUAUCAAACAUAGUCGGAGGUUCUACCACCGAAAUAACAUCAUCAGCCCACGAAAUAAUGGCUCUUAUCGCCUCAUGGACUGAGCCUUUCUUGGCCUACGUAAAUAGGCAGGAGCUCCUUGAAGAUCAAAAUGAAGCACGCUGCAUUGUCCGGUGCUCUAAAGCUUACAAAGUCCAUGAAGGAGAACUCUAUAAGAAAAGUACUACCGGAGUGCUCCAAAGGUGCAUCUUCGAAGAGGAAGGGCGGCAUCUCCUGACUGAAAUCCACGCCGGACUGGGCGGGCACCACGCUGCGGCUCGAGCACUAGUCAGCAAGGCCUUCCGUACAGGUUUCUAUUGGUCGACGGCCCGAGCAGACACACAGGACCUUGUCCAACACUGCGUCGGUUGCCAGCUCUUCGCCAAUCAGAGCCAUAUGCCCCCUACCGCUCUCCAAACAAUCCCCAUAACUUGGCCCUUCGUGGUCUGGGGGUUGGAUAUGGUUGGACCCCUUAAAGGGGGAAGCCAUAAGAAAAAAUACUUAUUGGUCAUGGUUGACAAGUUCACCAAAUGGAUAGAAGCCAAACGAGUGAAAACGGCCGAAUCUGAACCAGUUAUAGACUUUAUAUCCGGGGUUGUACACCGAUACGGUGUCCCCCACAGCAUCAUCACCGAUAAUGGCUCGAAUUUCAUGGCCGAUGAGGUGAAAUCUUGGUGCGGCAAAAUGGGCAUUAAGCUCGAAUGCUUUCGUCUACCAUCCUCAAACAAAUGGCCAGGUCGAACGGGCAAACGGUCUUAUUAUGAGCGGCAUCAAACCCAGACUAGUGCGAUCCUUGACAGAGUUGGAUACUCAGUGGUUCGAGGAGCUCGACUCCGUACUCUGAGGGCUGCGGACCACGCUGAAUCGCAUCACCGGAUACACAUCCUUUUUAUGGUGUACGACGCGGAAGCAGUACUACCAUGUGACAUAAUACAUGAUUCGCCACGCGUACGCAUGUACGAAGAGAAGGAAGCCGAGUUAGAUCAGCAGGAUAAUUUGGAUGCCCUGGAGGAGGAGCGCGAUGUCGCUAAGGCCCGUUCUGCAUUCUAUUAG
rnacentral:rRNA from 1 species